rnacentral:tRNA from 1 species
UAGUGUGAUGGCAGAUUAGUGCAUUAGGUUUAAACCCUAAAAAUGAAUAUUAACUAUUCUCACAUUAA